rnacentral:rRNA from 1 species
CCUACGGGUGACAGCAGUGAGGAAUAUUGGUCAAUGGCCGAGAGGCUGAACCAGCCAAGUCGCGUGAGGGAAGACGGCCCUACGGGUUGUAAACCUCUUUUGUCGGGGAGCAAAGCGAACCACGUGUGGUUCAUUGAGAGUACCCGAAGAAAAGCAUCGGCCAACCCCGUGCCAGCAGCCGCGGUAAUACGGAGGAUGCGAGCGUUAUCCGGAUUUAUUGGGUUAAAAGGGUGCGCAGGCGGAGGUGCAAGUAAGCGGUCAAAUUGCGGGGCUCAACCCCGUACUGCCGUUGAACCUGCAUCCCUUGAGUGCGCGAGAAGUAUGCGGAAUGCGUGGUGUAGCGGUGAAAUGCAUAGAUAUCACGCAGAACUCCGAUUGCGAAGGCAGCAUACCGGCGCGCAACUGACGCUCAUGCACGAAAGCGUGGGUAUCGAACAGGAUUAGAUACCCUAGUAGUC